rnacentral:rRNA from 1 species
AGGUGCUGCAUGGCUGUCGUCAGCUCGUGUCGUGAGAUGUUGGGUUAAGUCCCGCAACGAGCGCAACCCUUGUCCUUAGUUACCAGCACGUUAUGGUGGGCACUCUAGGGAGACUGCCGGUGACAAAUCGGAGGAAGGUGGGGACGACGUCAAGUCAUCAUGGCCCUUACGGCCGGGGCUACACACGUGCUACAAUGGUGCAUACAGACGGUUGCCAAGCCGCGAGGUGGAGCUAAUCUGAGAAAGUGCAUCGUAGUCCGGAUUGGAGUCUGCAACUCGACUCCAUGAAGUCGGAAUCGCUAGUAAUCGUGAAUCAGAAUGUCACGGUGAAUACGUUCCCGGGCCUUGUACACACCGCCCGUCACACCAUGGGAGUGGGUUGCUCCAGAAGUGGCUAGUCUAACUGCUUGCAGAGGACGGUCACCACGGAGUGAUUCAUGACUGGGGUG